GACGAACGCUGGCGGCGUGCUUAACACAUGCAAGUCGAACGAAGUGGCGAACGGGUGAGUAACGCGUAAUCAACCCGCCCUUCAGAGGGGGACAACAGUUGGCAACGACUGCUAAUACCGCAUACUGAAGGUGGGGAUUGCGUGUGAUUAGCUAGUUGGAGGGGUAACGGCCCACCAAGGCGAUGAUCAGUAGCCGGUCUGAGAGGAUGAACGGCCACAAUGGGACUGGGACACGGCCCAGACUCCUGCGGGAGGCAACAGUGGGGAAUCUUCCGCAAUGGAGGAAAGUCUGACGGAGCAACGCCGCGGGGGGGGUGACGGCCUUCGGGUUGUAAAGCUCUGUUAAGCGGGACGCGGUACCGGAAGAGAAAGCCACGGCUAACUACGUGCCAGCAGCCGCGGUAAUAC
rnacentral:rRNA from 1 species